UACGUAGGAUCCGAGCGUCGUCCGGAUUUACUGGGUGUAAAGGGUGCGCAGGCGGACUGGUAAGUCAGUGGUGAAAUCUCGUCGCUUAACGACGAAACUGCCUUUGAUACUAUCAGUCUUGAAUCCGGUAGAGAUCUGUGGAAUUCCGAGUGUAGCAGUGAAAUGUGUAGAUAUUCGGAAGAACACCAGUGGCGAAGGCAGCAGAUUGGGCCGGUAUUGACGCUCAGGCACGAAAGCAUGGGGAUCAAACAGG
rnacentral:rRNA from 1 species